ACCUGUAUACGAAUACCUAUAGUAAUUAAUACAAUUGAUGGUACUAUAUACCAGGUAUUCAACAAUGGUGUCAGUCCAUAGUUUCCGUUUUGUUUUUAAUCGUUGUUUUUUCCAACUUAUCAUUUUGUUGUCCUAAGAAGUACCCACACAGGAUGUGAUUGGUGAUUUCUGUUAAUCUUCAUAUUGGCAUCAAGAUGUUUGGUGUGAGCAUUUAUACAUAAUGGUUGGUUUUCAAUAUUAUUCUUAUAUGGUAUAAAUAAAAUUUUCAUUUAAAACUUGA